CCCUUAGAUGUUCUGGGCAGCACGCGCGCUACAAUGGCCUUCGCAAACGGAUGCAUUCUCGAAGGAGAAUACCAAUCUUGGAAUCUAUGCCUUGGUCGGGACAGUUGCUUGCAAUUUUUCGACUCGAACCAGGAAUUCCUUGUAAUCGUGAUUCAUCACAUCACGAUGAAUACGUCCCUGCCCUUUGUACACACCGCCCGUCGCUCCUACCGAUCGAAGAGUUAGGUGAAUUGUUUUGAUCGAUAAGAUUUGACUAUGGUCAACUCUCGUUGUGAAAUUCUGUGAAUCUGACUGUUUAGAGGAAGGAAAAGUCGUAACA
rnacentral:rRNA from 1 species